UACAGAGGUCUCAAGCGUUGUUCGGAUUCAUUGGGCGUAAAGGGUGCGUAGGCGGCGCGGUAAGUCGGGUGUGAAAUCUCGGGGCUUAACUCCGAAACUGCAUUCGAUACUGCCGUGCUUGAGGACUGGAGAGGAGACUGGAAUUUACGGUGUAGCGGUGAAAUGCGUAGAUAUCGGGAGGAACACCAGUAGCGAAGGCGGCACUCUGGGCCGGUACUGACGCUGAGGAGCGAAAGCGUGGGGAGCAAACAGG
rnacentral:rRNA from 1 species